AGUGAACGCUGGCGGCGUGCUUAACACAUGCAAGUCGAACGAGAACGGAUUAUAGCUUGCUAUAAUUGUCAGCUAAGUGGCGCACGGGUGAGUAAUGUAUAGGUAAUAUGCCUCUUACUAAGGGAUAACAAAUGGAAACGUUUGCUAAUACCUUAUACUCCUUAUUAACAUAAGUUAAUAAGGGAAAGAUUUAUUGGUAAGAGAUUAGCCUGUAUUGUAUCAGUUAGUUGGUGGGGUAAUGGCUUACCAAGACUAUGAAACAUAACUGGUUUGAGAGUAUGAUCAGUCACUCUGGAAAUUAGACACGGUCCAGAUUGCUACAGGAGUCAACAGUGGGGAAUAUUGCACAAUGGAAGAAAGUCUGAUGCAGCAUCGCCGCGUGGAGGAUGACACAUUUCGGUGAGUAAACUCCUUUUAUAUGAGAAGAUAAUGACGGUAUUAUAUGAAUAAGCACCGGCUAACUCCGUGCCAGCCGCCGCUGUAA
rnacentral:rRNA from 1 species